rnacentral:rRNA from 1 species
GGAGUCUGGUCCGUGUCUCAGUACCAGUGUGGGGACCUUCCUCUCAGAACCCCUACGCAUCGUCGCCUUGGUGGGCCGUUGCCCGCCAACUAGCUAAUCGGACGCAAGCUCAUCCCAUACCGAUAAAUCUCUAGUCAACCAGCCAUGCAGCUGGCCACUCUCCUGGACAUUAACCGCGCGUUGGCACGGGUAUUUCCUGAUAUGGGGCCAGAUUGCUUACGCGUUACUCACCCGUUCGCCGCUCGGCAUUGCUGCCUCGCUCGACUUGCAUGUAUAAGACACGCCACCAGCGUUCGUU